AACGAACGCUGGCGGCAUGCCUAACACAUGCAAGUCGAACGAGACCUUCGGGUCUAGUGGCGCACGGGUGCGUAACGCGUGGGAACUUGCCCUUAGGUUCGGAAUAACUCCCCGAAAGGGGUGCUAAUACCGGAUAAUGCCUUCGGACCAAAGAUUUAUCGCCUUUGGAUGGGCCCGCGUUGGAUUAGCUAGUUGGUAGGGUAAAAGCCUACCAAGGCGACGAUCCAUAGCUGGUCUGAGAGGAUGAUCAGCCACACUGGGACUGAGACACGGCCCAGACUCCUACGGGAGGCAGCAGUGGGGAAUAUUGGACAAUGGGCGAAAGCCUGAUCCAGCAAUGCCGCGUGAGUGAUGAAGGCCUUAGGGUUGUAAAGCUCUUUUACCCGGGAUGAUAAUGACAGUACCGGGAGAAUAAGCUCCGGCUAACUCCGUG
rnacentral:rRNA from 1 species